GGCACGAUGGCUGAGUGUUUAAGUGGUAGGUUGUAGCCCUAAGGACAGAGGUUGAAUUCCUCUUCGUGCCA
rnacentral:tRNA from 1 species